UACGUAGGUGGCAAGCGUUGUCCGGAUUUACUGGGCGUAAAGAGCGCGCAGGCGGUCGUUCAAGUCGCGUGUGAAAGCCCCCGGCUCAACUGGGGAGGGUCACGCGAUACUGAUCGACUCGAAGGCAGGAGAGGGUAGUGGAAUUCCCGGUGUAGUGGUGAAAUGCGUAGAUAUCGGGGAGGAACACCAGUGGCGAAGGCGACUACCUGGCCUGUUUCUUGACGCUGAGGCGCGAAAGCCAAGGGAGCAAACAGG
rnacentral:rRNA from 1 species